UAGAGCAUGAUGCCCACCUUACUACGAAUAAAAAUUGUCUGUCUUUCUAAGGAAUUUUAUAUUAAUACUCAGCACUUCAGGAAAAUUUCAUGGAAGAGCCCAAGACAUUUUCAAAUUGGAGAACCGAUUAGAUGAAUGAGAGACAGAGCAUGAAUGGGAGAGGGUCAGAGAG